CUGAGCGCGUGUGCGUCCCCCUCCCGCGCGUUAGCUCGCUCAGCGCCCAGCCAGGCGACUGGGACUUUGCCCCGGGGUGGUUUAGAAGGGGAAUGAUCCCCCCGCCGCCUUCCCACAGCAGCUUCGCGUGCCAGAGUGUGAUUGUUUCCUGAGGUAAAGAACCAACUCCUGCACUCCCUACUCAGGCAAAACUACCAUCAAUUUCAACAAAAGGGUAUGGUCUUAUAUUUAGUUUUUCAAAAUGAACAGUGCAAGCUGACUUGUGACGUGCUGCCUAAGACAAACAAUUGUUCAAUAAGUAUAAUACAUAUAUAUUAUUUUGAUAAUACUAGCUCAAUUACUUUCAAGUUAAGAAAUUUAAGUUCAAAGUUUUGAUCUACCUUAUUUCUUAUUUUGCAAAGUCAUGUACAUCUUUACCUGUUUACGUUUUAUAAAAUAAAACUUCAGUAGGUUUUUUUUUAAGCUAAGAGAAAUAAAGGUCAACAGCUCAUCAAUCUCAACAGCAAAGCAAAAGUGCAUGUAGGGCUGAAUGGAAGACAUUUCUAGCAAGGAAAUAGGUUUUACAAGGCUAUUUACAAAAGAAGUGAAAAUUUUAAGGGUAUUCAAAAAUACUGUUACUGUGCCAUUAUAUGCAAAUACCAUUCAGCAUCAGAGAUGUUUUCAAGUAAAAUGAGACAGAUUUAAUGAAAAUGAAAAGAUUUUGUCCCAACUUCACUCAGUGAUAUUGAAUGGGGUCAGAGUAUAAUUUGUCCUAAAAUUGUUAUUAAUAACACAAUACCAUUUUGAGUACAAUAAAAUAGUUUCCUAAACAUUGAUACAA